rnacentral:rRNA from 1 species
CAGUCGCCACGGGAAUACGUAGGUGGCAAGCGUUGUCCGGAAUUAUUGGGCGUAAAGGGCUCGCAGGCGGUUUCUUAAGUCUGAUGUGAAGGCCCCCGGCUCAACCGGGGAGGGUCAUUGGAAACUGGGAAACUUGAGUGCAGAAGAGGAGAGUGGAAUUCCACGUGUAGCGGUGAAAUGCGUAGAGAUGUGGAGGAACACCAGUGGCGAAGGUGACUCUCUGGUCUGUAACUGACGCUGAGGAGCGAAAGCGUGGGGAGCGAACAGGAUUAGAUACCCCGGUAGUCCCUGUCUCUUAUAC